GCCGCAGAUCCAUGUCACGGUCAUCCUGCCAUCCGCUGUCCUUCGCUGAAAUUUGGGAGUGCAUGGGAUGAAAUCCUGGAGCAACAUUUAGUUCUUUCAUACAGGAAUGAAGUGGUUUUCCAUGGACGGAAUGAAUGGUUCAUCCCCUGUCCUCCAGGAGAGUGCACAGAAUGCAGCCCAGGGGCAUCAUUUAGCCCUUGUGGGAGCGGCUAAAUCUGGGAAUUAAGUGCUUUCCCGUGGAUGGAAUUGGUUCCUCCCCCAGCAGGAGACAGCCAGAGCUCUGCUCCAGAUGGGGAAUGCCAAGCACCUCACGAGCGGAAGAUGAAAUUAAAAGAUAAGAAGAAUGAUUUUAUGAAUCCACAACACAAUGCAAAG